rnacentral:rRNA from 1 species
UACCAGCACCCCGAGUGGUCGGGACGUUUAUUGGGCCUAAAGCAUCCGUAGCCGGUUUUACAAGUCCUCCGUUAAAUCCAGCUGCUUAACAGAUGGGCUGCGGAGGAUACUAUAAGACUAGGAGGCAGGAGAGGCAAGCGGUACUCAGUGGGUAGGGGUAAAAUCCGUUGAUCCAUUGAAGACCACCAGUGGCGAAGGCGGCUUGCCAGAAUGCGCUCGACGGUGAGGGAUGAAAGCUGGGGGAGCAAACCGG